UCCAAAUACAAACUCUUUAACCAAUAAUUGUUCCUAACAGAGAAGAUCAGAUUCUCUUACUCGAGUACAGGUUUGAGAAAUUCCUGACAAAAUACCCCGUACCCUAACGUUUUCUCUUCUUUCCACAGUUGUUCUUAACCCAGCUCUGGAUGAUUUAGCAGCAGUGUAGAAGAUGCCUGACCUCACUAUGAAGACUCUCAUCACUGUUGGUGGUAGCUUACUGCUUGUUGCAGCUGUACUGAUGGCUGUUACCACCAGUCUUCUCUUCAAAGUCACCAGUGUGCUGAGAGCUGCAAAACAACCUGAUCCUGAGACUAAUUUAGCCAUCAACAAGAACAAGGCCUUCCGGGCUGAGACCACCACGACUGACUCUUGUCCCAUCAUUGAUCCCUGUGAUGAAUUUAAAAUGUAUGCAGAUCCCAUGCCUCCUUGCUUUUGUGAAAUAGAUGAGGACUGCUAAUGUGGCAUUGGUGGACACAAACCUCUUGACACGCAAUAAUUCUU